GCCAGUGGUGAACUCCACAUCCGCAUCCUUUGCUGAGGAUACGGUUAACGGAGCGAAAGCGACGUUCAACCGCAAAACAAGCAGAGGGGGCUUAGUGGUGGGGUGACUGCGUACCUUUUGUAUAAUGGGUCAGCGACUUAUAUUCUGUAGCAAGGUUAACCGAAUAGGGGAGCCGGAGGGAAACCGAGUCUUAAUUGGGCGUUAAGUUGCAGGGUAUAGACCCGAAACCCGGUGAUCUAGCCAUGGGCAGGUUGAAGGUUGGGUAACACUAACUGGAGGACCGAACCGACUAAUGUUGAAAAAUUAGCGGAUGACCUGUGGCUGGGGGUGAAAGGCCAAUCAAACCGGGAGAUAGCUGGUUCUCCCCGAAAGCUAUUUAGGUAGCGCCUCGUGAAUUCAUCUCCGGGGGUAGAGCACUGUUUCGGCUAGGGGGCCAUCCCGGCUUACCAACCCGAUGCAAACUGCGAAUACCGGAGAAUGUUAUCACGGGAGACACACGGCGGGUGCUAACGUCCGUCGUGAAGAGGGAAACAACCCAGACCGCCAGCUAAGGUCCCAAAGUCAUGGUUAAGUGGGAAACGAUGUGGGAAGGCCCAGACAGCCAGGAUGUUGGCUUAGAAGCAGCCAUCAUUUAAAGAAAGCGUAAUAGCUCACUGGUCGAGUCGGCCUGCGCGGAAGAUGUAACGGGGCUAAACCAUGCACCGAAGCUGCGGCAGCGAACGUAUCACCCAAGACAACUUUACGGAGUUGACGAUUGACGGAGCGAAGCGACGUCAAAGCGUUCAUUAAAGUCGAGUUGGCUUAGGGAUACGUUCGUUGGGUAGGGGAGCGUUCUGUAAGCCUGUGAAGGUGUGUCGUGAGGCAUGCUGGAGGUAUCAGAAGUGCGAAUGCUGACAUAAGUAACGAUAAAGCGGGUGAAAAGCCCGCUCGCCGGAAGACCAAGGGUUCCUGUCCAACGUUAAUCGGGGCAGGGUGAGUCGACCCCUAAGGCGAGGCCGAAAGGCGUAGUCGAUGGGAAACGGGUUAAUAUUCCCGUACUUGGUGUUACUGCGAAGGGGGGACGGAGAAGGCUAUGUUGGCCGGGCGACGGUUGUCCCGGUUUAAGCGUGUAGGUGUGUGUUCCAGGUAAAUCCGGUUCACUUUAACACUGAGGCGUGACGACGAGGCACUACGGUGCUGAAGCAACAAAUGCCCUGCUUCCAGGAAAAGCCUCUAAGCAUCAGGUAACAUCAAAUCGUACCCCAAACCGACACAGGUGGUCAGGUAGAGAAUACCAAGGCGCUUGAGAGAACUCGGGUGAAGGAACUAGGCAAAAUGGUGCCGUAACUUCGGGAGAAGGCACGCUGACACGUAGGUGAAGUGAUUUACUCAUGGAGCUGAAGUCAGUCGAAGAUACCAGCUGGCUGCAACUGUUUAUUAAAAACACAGCACUGUGCAAACACGAAAGUGGACGUAUACGGUGUGACGCCUGCC
rnacentral:rRNA from 1 species